rnacentral:rRNA from 1 species
AGUGAACGCUGGCGGUAGGCCUAACACAUGCAAGUCGAACGGCAGCACAGUAAGAGCUUGCUCUUACGGGUGGCGAGUGGCGGACGAGUGAGGAAUACAUCGGAAUCUACUUUUUCGUGGGGGAUAACGUAGGGAAACUUACGCUAAUACCGCAUACGACCUACGGGUGAAGGCAGGGGAUCUUCGGACCUUGCGCGAUUGAAUGAGCCGAUGUCGGAUUAGCUAGUUGGCGGGGUAAAGGCCCACCAAGGCGACGAUCCGUAGCUGGUCUGAGAGGAUGAUCAGCCACACUGGAACUGAGACACGGUCCAGACUCCUACGGGAGGCAGCAGUGGGGAAUAUUGGACAAUGGGCGCAAGCCUGAUCCAGCCAUACCGCGUGGGUGAAGAAGGCCUUCGGGUUGUAAAGCCCUUUUGUUGGGAAAGAAAAGCAGCAGGUUAAUACCCCGCUGUUCUGACGGUACCCAAAGAAUAAGCACCGGCUAACUUCGUG